UGCUGGGACAGACAGACAGGAGAACAGCACCAGAUCUGCAAGAGGGACAAUGACUUAGCCACAUCGAUGCCUGUAGUGCAGCACUAAAUGUUUGACACCUUUCCUCAGUCCCAGCUGCAGGAGAUAGAUGGAAAAACUGAGGCACACAGACACCUUCCUAUCCAAGACCGCACAGGAAAUCUGUGGCAAGACCAGCUCCUGAUCACAGGAGUCUGCAUAUGUAGGGGUUUGGGGAGGACAACUGAGCUCCCUUGCACUCAGAUGCCUGUGGCAAGAACCGAAGAGCACACCAGCAAAAGGUUACUGGGUUUUUUUUCCCUGAACUGAUAUCCACAUUACUUCCUCCUUACAUCCUCUAAGCUGUAAACUAAAUUGAACAUUAUUCUGGAUCCCAGGCUUUGGGCUAUAAAUGCAGUUGCUUGGAGUAAAAUCAACCACCCUGAAGAAAGCAACCUAGGUGAAGCAACGCUUGGGUAUUGUGACAGAAGUGAUUUGCGUGGGAAUGAACCCAGAGGAAAAUCGGUUGCUCUGCAGCUGGGAAUCUCCCUGAGCCUUUUGCAAGCCUCACAACAGAUCACCACAUGUGCACAGACGGUCACUCCUACAAACUACUCUCACUCUUCAUUCCCAGGUGCUUGAUCACAAACGCUUUGGACUGCUUUUGGUGACUCCAGUCCUUUCCUCCACACCUUUCAUUUUUGAAGGCUCUUUCCUAAUUUGCUGUUUGCUUUCAAAAAACCCAAAAACAAACAAAAAACCCCAAACAACAUCCCAAGUGAAUUUCUCUGCACAUUCCUCAGUUAAAAAGAAUUACUUGGAUGUUGUCACCCAGUUCCCCUGUAUUACAAUGAGUCACAUUAAAUGGGAUUACUGGAGGAGGAGCUGCAGAACUUCUCUGGGUUUACACAUACCUUGACGGUCCUCAGCAAGGGGACCACCCUCUGCAGGGAAGAAAGUUGAGCUUUUUGUUAAAAAUUGCACCAGACACCAUAUUUCAGUGUUGUCCUUCAUGUAAGCUUUCAGCCUGUGAGGAACAAGCUGGGAAGCAAAAAGAAGUCACAGGGGACUUGGUGCAGCACACCUUAGGAUGGAUGCGCUCCACAGCACAUCCAGCUGACUGCACCUCUCGCUUGCAGUGUGAAGCACCAGCAGAAAGUAUUGUGGAGAGGCUUCCAGGAAGGAAGCAAACAAGAGAAGAAUCAUGCUGUGAUGGCUUCUUCUAGCUGAGACAUCUUACUAAAGCCAAAACACAUUGGCAGUGUUAAUGCUGCUUAGGUUAAAUAUCUCAUCUUCUUCAGACAGCCCUGGGGGACUGAAACGCAGUCUGAAAUGAAAAAAGUUUCCCAAAGGUGAGUUCAGCAUGUGCCAGGAUGGAGAGCGAACCAAUAUUUUCUCUAAGGAAUCUUCCACCAUCUGCAGCAUCCAACAACUGGAAAAAAUUCUCCCAACAACUGGGUUGCAUCUGCAGUUUCUUAACUGUGUUCAGUUUUGCAUGAGACUGAGAAGUCAUCCUUUCAUGAUAGUAUUCUGUGUGGUUAUGGACUAGCUAACCUGGAAAGUGCUACCAAGUCCCCCCUAUUUCAAAUACUACAUGCAGAAUGAGACACACCUUUGCUAAAAUAGUGGAAAUAAGCCAUGAGUCGAAAAAGUGGUUUGGAUAGUAGAGUUAUGAAAAUUUCACUGUGGGGAAGAGAAGAACCGUGUUUUUCACCUCGAACUGAGGAUUCCAUGAGUCUAAUAUUUCUUUUUUUUUUUCCCUGUUUAAUUUAUGUCCAUGUAUUGCAGAGUCUGGAUCUCUUUUAAAUGCCUGGUUUGACACUGCAGCCUCUUUCACCCCCAGCACAAGUUUCCUAUUUCCCUGUCAGAGUCCAGAUGUCCUGGGGCCCUUGCAGAGCUCCUUGAUGAUACAUGUAUUUGGGACAACCCUGUCCCUGCACAAAAAGUUCAAAAAACUGAAGACAACACAUGUAUUACUCAGAAUAUCCUGUUAAUACAGGCAAAUGGUGGGGGCAGGAAGACUCCUCCCUGCUCCCUCUGACAUUGAUGCUGCAGUGGGAGGGGUACUAGCAAGACUCUGGGUUUGUCUGGAGUCCACUCUGGGGCUCCUCAGCCCAUCCUACAGACUCUAAGGCUACUUUCAGACUGCUGAGGUGUGAAACACUGAUAUCAGUGUAACAUCAGAGCAAAUAAAGCUGUAUUUCAUCAAUUUAGAGUAACAAAAGUGAAGAACUUCUCACUCCACUCAUCUCUUGCAUUCAUCACCGUGAAAUGGAAUAAUGCGUACAGAGUCGUGCAACAAGCUGUCACAUCAGCUUCGAAAGCAAUGGCCCACACAAGCAAAUUUCCCUACUGUACAGUCUUGUUAUUUAAGAUUAUUUAAUCAAAGGUGGCAGAAAGCAAGAGGUGGUUGUUGUUUGUUAGCUCUUUUUUCCCAAAGAAAGCAAUUCAGCCAUUUCCAGAAUUGGCCUGAGUGUUGACAGCAGAGCCUACCCACAGAUACAGGGUAUAAAUUGCUUAAUUAUGUGUGAAGAUUAUGGGAGCUAUGUCAAGCCUGAGUCACCAGCAGUUAUUUGAAAAGGUAAAACAAAAAUGAUUAGCAGAUUCUUUUGGAAAGUGUCUAUUGUAGUUUUCCUUCAUGUGCAUGAGGGUGCUGCUGUGUCUCCUGGCAGUACUGUGGCCACUUUCACUGGAGUGCAGGGGCAGGGCCCAAACAAAACUCAGGGCUCGGACAUUGCAAUAUUAACAGCUUUCCAAGGGAUGAUGCAAA